rnacentral:rRNA from 1 species
GACGAACGCUGGCGGCGUGCCUAAUACAUGCAAGUAGAACGCACAGUUUAUACCGUAGCUUGCUACACCAUAGACUGUGAGUUGCGAACGGGUGAGUAACGCGUAGGUAACCUGCCUAUUAGAGGGGGAUAACUAUUGGAAACGAUAGCUAAUACCGCAUAAUAGUAUGUAACACAUGUUAGAUGCUUGAAAGAUGCAAUUGCAUCGCUAGUAGAUGGACCUGCGUUGUAUUAGCUAGUAGGUAGGGUAAAGGCCUACCUAGGCAACGAUACAUAGCCGACCUGAGAGGGUGAUCGGCCACACUGGGACUGAGACACGGCCCAGACUCCUACGGGAGGCAGCAGUAGGGAAUCUUCGGCAAUGGGGGGAACCCUGACCGAGCAACGCCGCGUGAGUGAAGAAGGUUUUCGGAUCGUAAAGCUCUGUUGUUAAGGAAGAACGAGUGUGAGAAUGGAAAGUUCAU